CGCUUUUGUGGGGUGCUCGAGUGGCGAACGGGUGAGUAACACGUGAGUAACCUGCCCUUGACUUUGGGAUAACUUCAGGAAACUGGGGCUAAUACCGGAUAGGAGCUCCUGCUGCGUGGUGGGGGUUGGAAAGUUUCGGCGGUUGGGGAUGGACUCGCGGCUUAUCAGCUUGUUGGUGGGGUAGUGGCUUACCAAGGCUUUGACGGGUAGCCGGCCUGAGAGGGUGACCGGCCACAUUGGGACUGGGAUACGGCCCAG
rnacentral:rRNA from 1 species